AUCAUGGAUAACCACAGCUCAGUGCCUUGGGCCAGUGCCGCCAGUGUCACCUGUCUCUCCCUGGAUGCCAAAUGCCACAGUUCCAGUUCCAGUUCCAGCUCCAAAUCCGCAGCGAGCUCCAUCUCCGCAAUCCCGCAAGAAGAAACGCAAACGAUGCGCCACAUUGCGCAUACGCAGCGUUGCCUCAGCAGGCUGACCUCUCUGGUGGCCCUGCUGCUGAUCGUCUUGCCGAUGGUCUUUAGCCCGGCUCACAGCUGCGGUCCUGGCCGAGGAUUGGGUCGUCAUAGGGCGCGCAACCUGUAUCCGCUGGUCCUCAAGCAGACAAUUCCCAAUCUAUCCGAGUACACGAACAGCGCCUCCGGACCUCUGGAGGGUGUGAUCCGUCGGGACUCGCCCAAAUUCAAGGACCUCGUGCCCAACUACAACAGGGACAUCCUUUUCCGCGACGAGGAAGGCACCGGAGCGGAUCGCUUGAUGAGCAAGGUAAGGAAAACCCUCAAACACCGUAAGCUAGUAACAAAAUUUGUAAUACAUCAUUGGGAAAGUUUCGCUUAUCGGAAUCAUUGUGACAAAGUGACU
rnacentral:misc_RNA from 1 species